AAGCAUGCAAGUCGAACGGCAAGAGGUAGCAAUACCUCCUAGAGUGGCGGACUGGUGAGUAACACGUGGGUGACAUACCCUUCAGAUGGGGAUAGCUAUUAGAAAUAGUAGAUAAUACCGAAUACGAGCACAGGGGUUAGAGAUCUGUGAGGAAAGGAGCUAAGGCUCCGCUGAAGGAAUGGCCUGCGGCCCAUUAGCUAGUUGGUGAGGUAAGAGCCCACCAAGGCGAUGAUGGGUAUCCCGGCCUUAGAGGGUGAACGGACACAUUGGGACUGAGAUACGGCCCAGACUCCUACGGGAGGCAGCAGCUAAGAAUAUUCCGCAAUGGACGAAAGUCUGACGGAGCGACGCCGCGUUGGAUGAAGAAGGCCGGAAGGUUGUAAAAAUCCUUUUGAAACUGAAGAAUAAGCGUUGUAGGGAAUGACAGCGUGGUGACAGUAGGCUUUGAAUAAGCAACGGCUAAUUACGUGCCAGCCGCCGC
rnacentral:rRNA from 1 species